GACAGAGGGGGCAAGCGUUGCUCGGAAUUACUGGGCGUAAAGGGCGCGUAGGCGGGAUGGCAAGUCGGUCGUGAAAUCCCUCGGCUCAACCGAGGAACGUCGAUCGAUACUGCUGUUCUUGAGGAUUGCAGAGGAGACUGGAAUUCCCGGUGUAGCGGUGAAAUGUGUAGAGAUGCGGAGGAACACCGAUGGCGAAGGCAGCCCCCUGGGCUGACACUGACGCUCAGGCACGAAAGCGUGGGGAGCAAACAGG
rnacentral:rRNA from 1 species